rnacentral:rRNA from 1 species
GUCCCGGCAACGGGAUGAGUACAGCGGCGAACGGGUGAGUAACGCGUGGGCAAUCUGUCCUUCAGCCCGGGAUAACCCGCCGAAAGGUGGGCUAAUACCGGAUGACGUUCUCGUGGGGAAUCCCGCGGGAACCAAAGGGGGCGAGCAUUAGCAGCUCUCACUGGAGGAGGAGCCUGCGUCCGAUUAGCUAGUUGGUGGGGUAACGGCCUACCAAGGCGACGAUCGGUAGCCGGCCUGAGAGGGCGACCGGCCACACUGGAACUGAGACACGGUCCAGACUCCUACGGGAGGCAGCAGUGGGGAAUAUUGCGCAAUGGGCGAAAGCCUGACGCAGCGACGCCGCGUGGGCGAUGAAGGCCUUCGGGUCGUAAAGCCCUGUCGGGUGGAACGAAUCUCCCUGUGGCGAAUACCCACAGGGAUUGACGGUACCACCGAAGGAAGCUCCGGCUAACUACGUGCCAGCAGCCGCGGUAAUACGUAGGGAGCGAGCGUUGUUCGGAUUUACUGGGCGUAAAGCGCGCGUAGGCGGCCUUGUAAGUCGGGUGUGAAAGCCUUCGGCUCAACCGAGGGUCCGCGCCCGAGACUGCUUGGCUCGAGUCUAGGAGAGGAGAGCGGAAUUCCCAGUGUAGCGGUGAAAUGCGUAGAUAUUGGGAGGAACACCGGUGGCGAAGGCGGCUCUCUGGACUAGUACUGACGCUGAGGCGCGAAAGCUAGGGGAGCGAACGGGAUUAGAUACCCCGGUAGUCCUAGCCGUAAACGAUGGGCACUAGGUGUGGGAGGUAUUGACCCCUUCCGUGCCGCAGCUAACGCAUUAAGUGCCCCGCCUGGGGAGUACGGCCGCAAGGUUGAAACUCAAAGGAAUUGACGGGGGCCCGCACAAGCGGUGGAGCAUGUGGUUCAAUUCGACGCAACGCGAAGAACCUUA